UACGUAGGGUGCGAGCGUUAAUCGGAAUUACUGGGCGUAAAGCGUGCGCAGGCGGUUUUGUAAGCCAGAUGUGAAAUCCCCGGGCUCAACCUGGGAAUGGCAUUUGGGACUGCAAGGCUGGAGUUUGGCAGAGGGAGGUGGAAUUCCACGUGUAGCGGUGAAAUGCGUAGAGAUGUGGAGGAACACCAAUGGCGAAGGCAGCCUCCUGGGCCAAUACUGACACUCAUGCACGAAAGCGUGGGGAGCAAACAGG
rnacentral:rRNA from 1 species